GUAAAUGUAACGGAACUAUUCUGCAACGGCUACUUUGGGCUUCUAUUAGUAUUGUUCGUGUUUUCUUACUUUGGUUCCUCUGCUUGCUUCGAUCGUUUGUUCUUCAGUGGUCGAAACUCAUCUUGCGUCGGUGUUCAGCUGCUCGAAUAACAAGGAAUUGGAUUGCGCUCUAUUUGAGACGACCUCCGUAAUUCGAUCUAUAGUGCGAUUCCUGAAUUCACGAAGUUUGGAACCAGACGGAAACGAAAGGAAAGGGGUAGCGUUUAGAGGAGCAGCUUUGAGGUCUCUAUGAGGUACUCAAGGGUGCCAUUUCUUUGGUUUUCAAAACUGAAGGCUUGGAGCUUUUGGAAUUAGCUUUGGAGUGUUGGAUCUAAGGGUUGACUUUGGGCUUACUCUUUCAUCAAGCCACAAGCUCAUCUCCAAUUCUUACUUUGAUAACCAUUUAUAACGUCCAGAGUUAACUUGGGUUUGUGUAUGUUGAUUUCCUAUGGUUUUAUAUCUGAAUGGUAUGUUUAGA